rnacentral:rRNA from 1 species
UACGUAGGGUGCAAGCGUUGUCCGGAAUUAUUGGGCGUAAAGAGCUCGUAGGCGGUUUGUUGCGUCGGCUGUGAAAUCCCGAGGCUCAACCUCGGGUCUGCAGUCGAUACGAGCAAACUAGAGUGUUGCAGGGGAGACUGGAAUUCCUGGUGUAGCGGUGAAAUGCGCAGAUAUCAGGAGGAACACCGGUGGCGAAGGCGGCUCUCUGGCCCGCAACUGACGCUGAGGCGCGAAAGCGUGGGGAGCAAACAGG